rnacentral:rRNA from 1 species
GUUGUAUAGUCAAGUAAUUAAGUGCAUGUGGUGGAUGCCUUGGCAGUCAGAGGCGAUGAAAGACGUGAUAGCCUGCGAAAAGCUCCGGGGAGGCGGCAAAUAUCCUUUGAUCCGGAGAUGUCUGAAUGGGGGAACCCACCUACUUUAAGGUAGGUAUUGCAACAUGAAUACAUAGUGUUGCAAGGCGAACGAGGGGAAGUGAAACAUCUCAGUACCCUUAGGAAAAGAAAUCAAUUGAGAUUCCCUCAGUAGCGGCGAGCGAACGGGGAUCAGCCCAUUAAGUUAUGUGUGUUUUAGUGGAACGCUCUGGGAAGUGCGAACGUAGAGGGUGAUAUUCCCGUACACGAAAGGGCACACAUAAUGAUGACGAGUAGGGCGAGGCACGUGAAACCUUGUCUGAAUAUGGGGGGACCAUCCUCCAAGGCUAAAUACUCCUGACUGACCGAUAGUGAACCAGUACCGUGAGGGAAAGGCGAAAAGAACCCCUGUGAGGGGAGUGAAAUAGAUCCUGAAACCGCAUGCAUACAAGCAGUGGGAGCACCUUCGUGGUGUGACUGCGUACCUUUUGUAUAAUGGGUCAGCGACUUAUAUUCAGUAGCGAGGUUAACCGUAUAGGGGAGCCGUAGAGAAAUCGAGUCUUAAUAGGGCGUUUAGUUGCUGGGUAUAGAC